UACAGAGGGUGCGAGCGUUAAUCGGAAUUACUGGGCGUAAAGCGUGCGUAGACGGUUAUUUAAGUCGGGUGUGAAAGCCCCGGGCUCAACCUGGGAAUUGCAUUCGAGACUGAAUAGCUAGGGUACGGUAGAGGGAAGCGGAAUUUCCGGUGUAGCGGUGAAAUACGUAGAUAUCAGGAGGAACACCGGUGGCGAAGGCGGGACUCUGGGCCGAUACUGACGCUGAGGAGCGAAAGCGUGGGGAGCAAACAGG
rnacentral:rRNA from 1 species